GCUCUUCCUCAGGGUAGUCAUGUCCUUUUGUGGGAUACUUUUUGUUUCCACCACAGGACACAAUGGCAUGGAGUGUUUUGUCUUAAGUAAAAAAUAAGAUAGAAAAAAGAGGUUAGGGAAAAUGUGGGUUUAAGGUCAGUGGGUAUAAGCAGGCAAGCAGUGAAGGUCAGGUCUGGGGUUCUAGCUAGUGACAUUAACUCCCUCUUGCAUCUUAGGUACCAUUAUGACCUCAGCCUAUGGCCACUAGGUAAUUAUGGUAUUUAUUGCAGGGAUUGCUGACCUUCAGGGAUGUGGCCAUAGAAUUCUCUCAGGAGGAAUGGGGAUGCCUGAACCAUAGUCAGCGGGAACUGUACAGGGAUGUGAUGUUAAAGAACUAUGGACACCUCCUCUUCUUG
rnacentral:lncRNA from 1 species